rnacentral:rRNA from 1 species
UACAGAGGUCUCGAGCGUUGUUCGGACUCAUUGGGCGUAAAGGGUGCGUAGGUGGCGCGUUAAGUCAGGUGUGAAAUUUCGGAGCUUAACUCCGAAACUGCAUUUGAUACUGGCGUGCUUGAGGACUGGAGAGGAGACUGGAAUUCAUGGUGUAGCAGUGAAAUGCGUAGAGAUCAUGAGGAAGACCAGUGGCGAAGGCGGGUCUCUGGACAGUUCCUGACACUGAGGCACGAAGGCCAGGGGAGCAAACGGG